rnacentral:sRNA from 1 species
UCACAAAAGCCGAAAAAGUACCGUUAGGUU